rnacentral:rRNA from 1 species
UUCCGGUUGAUCCUGCCGGACCUGACUGCUAUCGGAUUGAUACUAAGCCAUGCGAGUCAUUGUAGCAAUACAAGGCAGACGGCUCAGUAACGCGUAGUCAAUCUACCCUAUGGACGGGAAUAACCUCGGGAAACUGAGAAUAAUGCCCGAUAGAACAUUAUGCCUGGAAUGGUUUAUGUUUCAAAUGAUUUAUCGCCAUAGGAUGGGACUGCGGCCUAUCAGUUUGUUGGUGAGGUAAUGGCCCACCAAGACUAUUACAGGUACGGGCUCUGAGAGGAGUAGCCCGGAGAUGGGUACUGAGACACGGACCCAGGCCCUAUGGGGCGCAGCAGGCGAGAAAACUUUGCAAUGUGCGAAAGCACGACAAGGUUAAUCCGAGUGGUUUCUGCUAAAGAAACCUUUUGUCAGUCCUAGAAACACUAACGAAUAAGGGGUGGGCAAGUUCUGGUGUCAGCCGCCGCGGUAAAACCAGCACCUCAAGUGGUCAGGAUGAUUAUUGGGCCUAAAGCAUCCGUAGCUCGUUUUGUAAGUUUUCGGUUAAAUCCAUGCGCUUAACGUAUGGGCUGCCGGGAAUACUGCAUAACUAGGAAGUGGGAGAGGUAGACGGUACUCGGUAGGAAGGGGUAAAAUCCUUUGAUCUAUUGAUGACCACCUGUGGCGAAGGCGGUCUACCAGAACACGUUCGACGGUGAGGGAUGAAAGCUGGGGGAGCAAACCGGAUUAGAUACCCGGGUAGUCCCAGCUGUAAACUAUGCGAACUCAGUGAUGCAUUGGCUUAUGGCCAAUGCAGUGCUGCAGGGAAGCCGUUAAGUUUGCCGCCUGGGAAGUACGUACGCAAGUAUGAAACUUAAAGGAUUGGCGGGGGAGCACCAC